CCAGACAAAAGUUGCUGCUGGUGGUGGAAACACAAGCCAAGCCAGACCUAACCGUUCUGACCCAUACCAUACCGUGCCCUACCAACCCGGACCACUCGGUGAGAACGAGGAUAAAGAG